CGUGGUACGAACGAGAGACCCCCCAAACGCUGGCGUGUGCCGCCACUUAACCUUAUCACACCUCAAAGUACCGAAUGUCCGACCACCCGACAAGCGGAGUGUGCCGCCCAUUAACCUCCCAGGCUGCUGCGGUCUGCUGUUAACCACAAACUAAUUGACGGGCACGGAGGAUAUACGUUCGCAUACAAAUUACCGAAGGGAAACUACCGAACAACCUCACGAACGGAGACCUCCUACAGUGGGUCGUGUGGCAGCAAUUAGAAUGUGUUUUUUUGUGGUUAACCGCAACUCAAGUACCAUGCUACCGGGCGGUCUCAAUUCGUAUACCGAACAAUUUCCACUACCAGACAGACAGCGGGGAUUCGCAUGAGC